GUCUUCGUGGUGUAGUGGUCAGCACGCUCGACGCGUAUUCGAGAGGUCCGUGGUUCGAUUCCCGGCGAGGGCA
rnacentral:tRNA from 1 species